UCGUUUCCUGUGGCCUGGCUGUUUCUAAGCUGAUUUCCUGUAACACCCUAGUGACUGCUUCACAACCAUCCUCUCGCUGUCUCUUGAAAAGUGCAUAGCAGUUUGAACUUUACCUCUUGACACCCUAGCCUCAUCAUGCACCCUUUACCACAAACCCAGAAAACACAUUGUAGCUCUGCAAUUCUUUAGCUGCAAUUUUUUUUUGCUGUGCCAAGUUCAAAAGCUAACGGAAAAGGAACAAUGUAUUUGCCACAAUCAUGAGGUUUCCACCAGUUGAAAUGUUUCUAAUGGAAUGUUUCACAGGUAUUCAUUAGGAAAGAGCAUCCGAGAGAUGGACAGGUGAGGGAGGAGAAAGCACAAGAGAGCUGGAGUUCAGGUGACUUCAUUUUGUAACCGUAGGUAGAUUUGGUCGGAGAGGACGAGUUUAAACAUGGAGGGAGGAACAUGCAACUAAAUGUUGAGGUGCAGAACAACUGUGCUGUGUUUGAGGAUUCAGGGGCGAACAAGGAGGCCACAGAACCUUCCUGCUGGCCUUCAUGGUAGUUUCCCUGUAUUUACCGGCCUGCGCAGUCGGAAAUGAGUCUGGUGAAAACGUGUACAGAAAUUGAAACAAAAUUGUUCUUUUUUUGAAGUGGAGAAAUAGACCACACUCUAACUUCCUAAAAAAUAUAUAAUUUGUUUUUACAACUUCUGUGUAUUUAUGUCUAAUUCAUAAACGGGCAUGGAUAUUUUGGGGAUGUUGGGACUUGAUCACAACAAAUGAUCAAAAGAGCUAUGUAUCAUUAAGCUAUUACAUAAGAUCUUAUUUGAACCUUGUAUCAGGCUAUAGAAAUUUGAUUUUGCAAAUGGACAACUCUCCAAAAAUAUCUUUUGAGUGAAAAAAAACGAUACAAACCUACGUCCCACUGUGUGGAACUGAAAGUAGAGGCAUCGUGUCUGUAUGGUCAUGAAAAAAAGGAGGAGAGGUUUUCACUACGUAGCCAACAAGUCAUACUGAAAGUAUGCUGGCUUAAGUACAGCUCACAAAAUUCAUAGACAGCCAAAACUGAGCACAUCCACAGAACUAGCAUCAUCAUCUUUCUCUGGUUUGGUCUUUGGAACGUCUAAACAGACUCGGGCUUGAGAAAAUAAACAGCAAAAAAAAGCUUGCUACCGCUGAAAGGGAAAAUGGAAAAUCACACGGAUGAUCGUACCACGGUCACCUCAGUCACAACGGGCAUGGCAGAGUUGGUGACCACGUUGGUCUCCAGCACCAUUGACACCUCCCUCUACACCAACUCAACCUCUGGUAAAAACACCCCAUUUCCUACUGAUUUUCUGGACAUCAUCGAGGCCAACGACAUAAUGUCCAGGGCGACCUACGUCUACGCCAUCUUCAUGGCGCUAGCCUUGGUCUCGGUAGUCUUCCUCCUCUACGGUUUCAUCCAGUCGUACACUGCCCAGAGGGAGCUGGCCCUGGUAGACUCUGUGCUCCUGGCCUUCAGCGUGUCCCAGCUCCUCCUCCUGCUCCUCUCCCUCUCCUCCGUGGCCUACAGGCCCAAAUACCUGGAAGCCACGCGCCUGGGCUGUGCCACACUCUCCUUCUCUGUCAACACGGUGUUCCUCUGGGGGAUGCUGCUCCUGGUGCUCAUGGGCUACAUGCUGACCUUCGACGCCACGUCCCACCCCCUGCUGGGACACUCUUGGGUGUGCGUGGGUCUGGCUCUGCUGGUCUCAGGCCUGUCCUCGGUGCUGCUGGCCGGGCUGAGAUGGGCCAGCCAGGGUCUGGAGGGGACGGAGAGAUGCGUCAUAGACGCGGUCGAAGCUGGGCGUUCUUACAUUGUCGCUAAGCUCUGCGUGUCCUUCCUGAUCCCUUACUUACUCCUCCUGUGCCUUCUGGUUGGCGGCUGCGUCCACCAAUGGAAAUCCAGUGGACGCUUCCUGUCGGGCGCAGAAGAAAGGUCGGUGUUUCUGGCGGUCGGCGCGGCGACGUUCGCUUGUCAGGUGUUUUACUUUGCGGCGCUGUUGAGAGGGGUGGGGCUGGAGGGGCUGAACCAUCGGGAACGGGCGUUCCUGAGCGUGGCGGAGUUGGUGAUGUACUCUGGGAGCUGUGUGUGUCUGGGGCUGGUACUGCUGCUUCACAGGCCCAGCCGAGAGAGCCUGGUGAGGGCAGGGCGCCAGCUCAGGGACUGCUGUCGCAGCCUGAGGGGAGGGCAGACGCACAGCCAAGUGAUCGCCCCGCACAUAGAGAUCGGAUCACAGAUGUCGGAAUGGACGGUGACCACAUAGGCCGUGAACUGUAUCUGACGCUCUGGAGCCCUGAACACAAAGUGUAACCCGUGCUGUAGAAGUUAAUGGUUUACCAAAGUCCAUCAACAGAAAUACUGAGCUGUUGUUUUGUGAGCAGCUUGCUGAAUUGAAAUUCAAUUUAGUUUCUUCAGCAAAAGCAUCAGUUCAUCUUAAACUAAAUAUACUCAAUAUUUAUUUUUUUGCCAAAAAUAUUAUUUUGGACUUGUAAAACAGUACUGUAUCUGGAAGGCUUUUAUUAAUUGUCUGGAAAAUCUCACUGAAAUGUUUACUGCCAAAUGCACAACUAAACAUUUAUUGCACAUUUGUUCAUAUUUAAGUAUUAUGUCAGCAGCUAUUUGUACAUUCUGGAACCAUUGCAUAAUGUUGUAGAACUUUUUUCAUUUUAUAGUCGAAUAUCCCUUAACGUGUAUGAAAAACUGUUACAUGUCAUUAUAAAAUUAUAAUAAAAGCAACCCUUGAGUUAUCAUGUUGCUCCUUAACAUGCACCGCUUUUCUAAGAAAACACCAACAUUGCAUCAAAACAGAGCAUAACUACUAAGUUUAUGUCAAUGCCUGACACCCAUAGUAAAAUACAUGAUAGGAAGACAGCUUGUCAUGGCCGCUAAAUUCAUUAAGCGUUUUUGGAUCACUAAAACUUCCAUAACCACAACAGGGUGAAACAGCAAUAGAGGCCAGACAUUAAAAAAAAAACCAUCAAGGUGCUCCUGUUCUAGGAAUAACUAAGCCAGCAUACUUUACCUCCCCACACACACCAUGAGUGCCAGCGGGCAACAGGGGCAUGGGACCAGGAGAAAAAAAACUACAUGUGAAGCUCUCGGUUGAAUAAGGGCCCUUUAGGAGACUCAAGACUAGAGUGAAUGAAAGGUGUACCGAACUUUGCAAAAAGUAAACACUCUGGGAUUGUUACUGUCCUGGUGAGUGUGCAACAGCCCAGGAUACAUAAUAAUAAUAAUAAAAAUAAGUGAUUAAAUCUCAUUUUAAAAUGAUUCUAUUGUCUGAAUAAUCAAGCCUUAUUUAAGACACACCUGUGCACGAAGAACACCGAUCCAAAAAUAGUAUUUAAGAAGAUUUUAAACAAUGUUUGUGAUUAAGUUCUGAAAAACAAGUUUAGGUCACAGUAAAUACAUGUUGCUGAAAUGCAUCUUGUUUUGUGUAAACGGAAUGCCUAGCCGCUACCUUGCAUACCCCUAUUGAUGUAUUUAAACAAAAUACAAUACAAGUCACACAUCACUAAUAGAAUGGCUAACAGCCUGGAGAUAUACUUCCCCAGUUUUGCAGAAGUUGUGAUCUGAAAAGUUAACAUUAAACAUGCAGUUGUCAAUGUCAACUAUGUAAAAAAGUACCCUAAAAAAAGUAUUCUCUGCCAGUCAGAUUCUAAACUUGAGUGUGAAUGAGUGAGUGAGUGAGUGAGAGAGAGAGUGUGUGAGUGAGUGUGUGAGUGAGUGAGAGUGUGUGUGAAAGGGUGUGAGAGAGAGAGAGACAGAGAGAGACAGAGCGAGAAGGGUAGGAGUGGCAGGGUUGGGGAGGCGUUAAGCUACCUUGAACAAGAGAUUAGUUUAUCUAAACUCUCGUGUUGUAUUUGAUUUACGGUGACAGAGUAGAUCUGUGAAAGCUUCCAUCUCCCUUAUUGCUGCACGGUUAACGAUCUGAAUUUAAGCAGGAUAAGAGAGGACCUCAAGGACAUUAUGCACUCAAGAGUGAACCAUCAAGGAAACUCCGCUGAUCACAACAUGAACAGCUCGACGGCUCUGAGCAGAAGAUGAAGAUUUACCACUGUGUUUUAUUGACUUCCCGACAACUAUAAAUUCAAAACGAUAUCCCGCCGCAGCAAAACCGGAGACGCACCUUGAUGUUCCAGGUGCAAUCACAGCAGCGUGAAAAUGAGGCUCCGAAACAAACGACUCACUGCCAGAACAUAGGAGCUAUGGAGGUGCGGUCCUACACAGGCAGUGAGGUUUACGGCAACUCCACUGAGGGACUUAAUGGCUCUUCUGUUCGAGGCCUUGGCCUGGCGGGAGAGG